CCGAUACAAGCUUAAAUUCAUCCGCUGUUACCUUCGAUUUUCAGUCAUCCGUUCUGUUCUGAACAAUACUCCACCGCCACCAUCACCGUUUUCGCCAAUAAGAAGAGUUCUUAAAAUGACAAAAAGAGGACGACCAACAAAUUCACAACAAUCCCAGCAAGAGGAGAUGCAAUUGUGUAUGAGGACAACUAAAAACAAACGGUGCAGAGUGAGUUCCUUUCGUUGGAA